CCUACGGGUGGCAGCAGUGGGGAAUAUUGGUCAAUGGGCGCAGGCCUGAACCAGCCAAGUCGCGUGAGGGAAGACUGCCCUAUGGGUUGUAAACCUCUUUUAUAAGGGAAGAAUAAUGACUACGUGUAGUCAGAUGCCCGUACCUUAUGAAUAAGCAUCGGCUAACUCCGUGCCAGCAGCCGCGGUAAUACGGAGGAUGCGAGCGUUAUCCGGAUUUAUUGGGUUUAAGGGGUGCGUAGGCUGUGAGGUAAGUCAGCGGUGAAAUGCCCCCGCUCAACGGGGUGAAGUGCCAUUGAUACUGCCUUGCUGGAAUGCGGAUGCCGUGGGAGGAAUGUGUGGUGUAGCGGUGAAAUGCAUGGAUAUCACACAGAACACCGAUUGCGAAGGCAUCUCACGAAUCCGCGAUUGACGCUGAUGCACGAAAGCGUGGGUAUCAAACAGGAUUAGAUACCCCUGUAGUC
rnacentral:rRNA from 1 species